UAAGUUCAGGGACAGUUGUUAAAACUUAUCCCCAAUAUAAUUCAAAAGCUGCUCCAAAUCCUACAAUCAUCGGAAGAUACUACUAACACUUGGGACGAUGCAUCAAAACAAUAUUAAGAAAGUUCCAAAAGACAAAACUAAGAAAAACCAACUUUAUCUUCAAAUAUUACACUAAUGUAUCUAUAAUCCGCAGAAUUUUUUUUUUAUCAAAAAGCAUCAGUUAACAUAUUCAAUUCUCUCAUCUUCAGAGGCUUCCAGGAUGUGCUACUGAGCCUUCCUGUCAUCCCCAGACCGCUAAUUUCUGUUCUCCACCUAAAAUUUAACUCGAGAAGUGGAACAUGUAAAAAAAGAUGGGAAGCAAAGAAGAGAAGUUGGAGUUCCAAGAACACAUCGCCAUCAUCCUCUAGUAAAGAAUUCCUCAAAUAAGAAUAACAUCAUUGUCCAAACAAAUUGCCAAACAGAAUAAGACAAAACAAACUAAGAAAGAGCUUGAUGUAAAGAAACACUAUGGGCAGAGUUAAGAAUAUUAAAAUGAUAUAAGAUGCAGUCUCUGAAAUACAGCCCUAAAGAAGAUGAGGAAAGAGGCAGAGUUACCUUGUUUAACAGGAAAACAGCAUAAGCUGCUCUUGUUGUAUCUCGACCUUCCAAAAAGAGGUGAAAUUCAACAGCCCCCAUAUUUACAUGGGAUGAUGAAGUCAAUAACAGAUCAGAUGAUGUAGGCUCCACAGAAGGUAUGUAGUCAGUGAUAUACGAUCGAGAACCAACCAAGCACACGGGGUAACACAAAGGUACUUCUAAGUAGGAAGCAAUGAGUAAAACAGCAUGCAAGAAACCCAAAGAAGACAAUGCACAUCUUAAAUUAUUGGACUAUGUAAACACAAUUAAAAAUUUUGCCUGAACAGCAAGCAUAUGCCACAUUGCAUGAAGAAAAAUAUGAUCUCUCUUACAUAAAUAAAAGCACAGCGAACAAGCACUUUAUUUUCUGAAAAUAAAUUGAGGAAUGCAAUGGUGGCAAUUGUUAAGGAUAAACAAUCCAUGAUGCAUGCAACAGAAUAAUAUUGGCAAAGGUGAAGUAACUAAUUAUGCUAUGCUGAGGAAAGAGAAGAACACACGUGCUACAUAUUCCAGGGCAGUUGCAGACUUCUGGACGACCUUCUUGUCGGUGAAAAAACUCAUCUUUGUGAAAGGAAGCAUAGUCAAAUGCAGACCUAAAACUGUCAAAGAUCCUUCAUUGGUUGGUUUAGAUCCAGUGUAGAUCCCUGAUUUACUAGUGCUUGGAAAUGAUUCAAGCUCUUGCUCCUCUGAAGGUCCAGCUGAUAUCUUUACUGGAUAAAGCAAUGAAAUUUGUGAUAUCAUAUACUGCUGCCUCAUUCUUAGCUUCUUCUGCAGGU
rnacentral:misc_RNA from 1 species